GGAGAGGUCGCAUAGUUGGUCUAGUGCGCCGCACUCGAAAUGCGGUAGGGGCGUAAGCUCCUCGUGGGUUCGAAUCCCACCCUCUCCG
rnacentral:tRNA from 1 species